GUAAAUAUAGAAUUGAGUUAAAUAUCAACAGACAUAAUUCAUUUUUUUUCUCUCUUGUAGAAGUUUGCUUGUCUACCAGCCAGAACCACAACAGAUCGUCCAAGUUGUAAAUUUCGAAGUGACUGUUACACUCCAAAAGUAGAGACAACUUGUGUUUACCCUGCAUUAGAUAAUAAAACCCGACUUCUUCGAAUCAUUCAUGGUCAUAAACCACCAUUGCUUUUCCUUGGAGAUCCUCUAGACCUUCAUUAUUCCGUUGCUGUCAGUAAUUAUGUUCCAAACAAUUCCUUCAUACCCAUCAGUUUACCAUAUGUCAUUGAAACAUUCUGCAAAUAUUUGAUCUCUUUAUCUGGUGCUUUGGUCAUCAUCAAUGUGAUUCCAUGUUAUGCCCUUGAUGGACAGUGGAUAUGCCGUGCUUUUAUUGAGUUUUGUCUUCGGCCAAUCAUUCCUAAUGUUGAAGUGCGAAAUGCCAUCUAUUCUGUCAUUCUGAUAUAUGGCACAAUAAUAUUGUUGGCAAAUGUCUUCAUUGCCAUGUGGACUUUGUUUUCAUGAUACCUAUAAGGAUCAUUUGUGUGGGAGAAGUUUACACUGUAAAAGUUACUUUUAUAUAUGUGUCAGUGGCAUACCUUGGAUAUCAAAAUAGGAUGUAUAUAAAAAAAAUGAUAAAGUACACUCAAAUAAUGUUUUAUAAAAAUAAAUGCAUAUGUUUAUAUUAUUGCUAUAAAUAGUGCAGGAAAUGUAAAAUACGUCUACUCUAUCUCUCUCAGUGAUGCAAAAUUUUUAUACCCUUCCCUGUUGCUUUCAUUCUCCUCCACUAAGUAUAUCUAACUGCCUCUCAAAACUAAUUUUAUUACAUUCGUGUUUUUUCAGUCUGCUCUUGAAGCUGAGAAUUUACAAUUUUUUUUAUCAGAGGUUCUAAAGCAAAGUAAGCAUUUUAGGCAAGCUAUUGGGAUAUUAAGUACAUGGCCUCCUAUUUCUAGUUAAUAUAUCAUAUGCUGAUCCAGGUAUGAGUUGUGUGAAAAGAUAAUCAAUUACACAAAGAAUAAAAUACAAUAUACAUACUUCACAUGCACAAUUAUAAGGCAAUACAGUUUCUUCCAGUUAUUCAUUGCUGCAAUAGUUAAUUGUCCAAAAUACAUUUAAACACUUUCUGCAUAUACAAAAAGAAAUAUUCCUGUUUAUUUCAUUUAGUAGUUUAUUACUGUAUUGAAUGUUUCUUCAGAUUAUCUAAAGCAAUGAAAAGGUAUUGUACUGAACAUAGCCUUAUGUACUUUUAAGGUAAUUUUAUUCUACUUUUAUCCAGUAUAAACUGUGCUAUAAUAUCAAAAGGAAUCUGCAUUCAUGCUAUUUAUAGUUCCUUUCCACAUAAAUCCAAACAUUCUCACCUGACCAUAUGUGCCUCCAUGCUGGGUUAUAGACAGUUGCUCAGUUGAAAGACUAAGAUUAUUUGCUGUCAUGAACUAUAUCAAUUUUAUGUAUAAUCCAUCUUCUGAUUUCUUAAAUAAAACACAUAUAUUGAUGAUCAGA